ensembl:lncRNA
AUGGCCAUCUGCCAGGGGUACUUUGACCAAGAACCAAUCAAGGAACGUGUUGUCGAAGGCUUUCAUGGCCGGGAUCACAGGGUUGUUGUAUGUCUUUCGGGCUGUGUGGCCAUGUUCCAGAAGCAUUCUCUCCUGACGUUUCGCCCACAUCUAUGGCAGGCAUCCUCAGAGGUUGUGACAUUAAGUCUAAAGUUUAGGAUGGGAGCGGAUAAAUUAAAUUGUCCGCAUUCAGCACGCAAGCCUUCGUUUGGGGACCCCUGCCUUAUACACAUUACCCCUGAGCACUCACCUUGCGAUGAUGAUGAUGAUGUUUAUUUAUAUUCUGCUUUUUUCUCUCCACAAGGAGACUCAAAGCAGCUGUUAGGGGAUGAUACACAUUUCCAAUCCUUCACAUUGUUAGCCACACAUCCAUGGAUGCUAUGCAUCCCACUCUGCCCCAGUCAUGUAUGCAAAUAUAUGUGUUUUCUAUUAAGCAGGAUACGCCAAUUCUGAAAUACUGAUACUCACUUCCUUUAAUAAAAUAAAAUACAACCCAGAAAAGAGCCACUUCCUCCUGGCAGGAACCCUCACCUCCCACCAGCCUGUUCUGCUCAGCACUAACUCAUCCCCCAACUCCAUUGCACAAAACCGAUGGCAACUGGAGGAUUGGCCCCAUGCCAGAAAUCCUGAUUUUUCUGUAAAACUGGGGAGUAAAAAGCAAGUUUUUUUGAAUCUGGUUAAAGCAAGCAAAUUAUCAAGAAUGCUGUGUGCACCAAUGCGGCAAAUACGAUUUUUUUUGGGCUCUAUAGUUAUCAUACAUCUAGGUGCCCUUCAAAAGCCUGUUGUAACUAUCCCCACAGGUUUUCAUGCCCUGAUGAUGAAGGCUUCUGCAGCCUUCCUUCACUAUGCUCCCAGGGUGAAGGCUUCUACAACCUUACAGCUAGGCAGGAAAUCAACAGCUAGACAGGGAGCAGGGCAGGCAUAAAAAAGACUUCAUAAAAAGAAGAUUCUUUGUUAGAGGCUUUGUUCACUGAGACAUGGCUGUAGUCCCAGUACUUCAGAGGAAUUUUCCUGCUCAGGAGUCAAACCAGCUAGAACCUGCUGUCAUUUGGUGGAGAAGUUGUUUUUUUAAAAAAUACACUUCAUUUUCUUCAUUUCUCACAUAUUACAGAGAGUUCAGUUGUUUUAUGAUGCAGCAUGAGUUACCACUGCUAAUUACAUUAAAUAAUGCAUUUUUAAUCUGGCUAUCUGUUUAUCUCCUUCUCCACAAACAUAUCUAUAAUGUUUGUAAUAAAAAUUUAAGUUGUAUUUUAAAAACAGCAAUAUGUGUGCCUGUGUUUACACUCACUGGCACUUCCAUAUCUGACAUGAUCUUAUCUGUCUGUCUGUCUUUCUAUCUGUUUGCUCCUGACUCUUACACUGCAAGACGUUCUUUCCUGAAAGUUCUUUAGAGCAUGGCUCCUUAAACUAUGGGUCCUGAACCCAUAGUUUGGGACCUUUCGCGCAAUAAUAAUAAUAAUAAUAACAACAACAACUUUAUUUUUAUACCCCGCCCCAUCUCCCCGAAGGGACUAGGGGCGGCUUACAUGGGGCCUUGCCCGACACAACAAUAUAAUAACAACAGCAAGACAAUAAAACAAAUAUCGCAACAAUAAAACAUCAGCAUCAAUAAAACAGUCAUAAAAAUCAACAUACAGCAUAAAAUGUUAAAAACAGGAGACUAAUACACGGAUCUGGGCCAAAGUGCAGAAUAUUUCAAAAUGGGGAGAGGUAGUUUCACACCUAAAAUGGUCAAUAAAGUGCAAUGUAAUAAUGGCAAAGCAUCAACGAUGGAGCUAUUGUUGAAUGGGCGGAUAAAUCAAACCUACAACGAUUAAUCAUCGAAGGCCUUUUGGAAGAGCCAGGUUUUUAGGCUCUUCCGGAAGGAGAGGAGGGUUGGGGCCUGCCUGAUCUCCCUAGGGAGCGAGUUCCAAAGCCGGGGGGCCACGACGGAGAAGGCCCUCUCUCUCGUCCCCACCAACCGAGUUGCCAAGAUGUCAGGUGCCCCCCCCCCAUCCUGAGAAGGGUGGAGGAGCUCCCCAACAACCCGAAACAACUCCGAAGAUCUAUUAGUUGCAGACGCGAUGCGGGCAGUCGAGAAAACCUUCCUGGCUGCCCGCAACGCCGCAGAAUAAGGCCCAAUAGCGGCUUUAGACCGUGCUCAGUCAGAUACGUCACGAGUUCUCAGCCAGCGGCACUCUAGUCUCCUUCUCGCACGUUUCAUCUCCGCCAGCUCCCCGGUGAACCAGGGGCCCGGGGCAACUCCACGCAGCGAGAGGGGACGUUCGGGAGCGAUCAUGUCUAUUGCCCUGGACAUCUCGCAAUGUUGAGGUCCCGAAAAAUUUGGCAACAGUAAAAGGUUUCUGAACACCACCCAUUUACACAAACUUGCUAGGAACAACGUGUAGUGUUUACAGUGGACUCUGCAGAAAGUGCUUCAGCUGUACUCCACAAAAGCAAAAUCAGCCUAUUUUGCAAGCCUUGCAAAUUCUGAUUUAUUACCAGUAAAUAAUAACAUAUUUUUAUAUCUAUUUUAUAAACUCAUAUACCUGGGAGGAACAUAAAAGUAGAAAAAGCUCAAGAAACCCUGCUUAAGAGAGUAUGCAUUAUAAGGACGAGAGGUAGUUGGACAUUAAUUUCUUUUUCUUAUAUAGAGUAACUACCAAAUUCUGUUGUAGUUGUAAAAAUAUUACCAUAUUAUACUAGAAGUGGGACAAAUGUAUCAAGAGAAAUGGCACAUAGGACGAACCCAACCCAAUGUCAUUUUUUCUCUUUCUUUUUACUGGUGGAGCACCUGCCUCAUGAGCCUGUAUGUCAAAUGCUCCCCUGGGAAGUGACUUGUUCAACAAAGGAAAUAAAGCUUCCUGCUGAAUGAGAAAUUGCCUCUCUACUGCCACAUUCACACCAGCUUCUCAUCCUAUUCAUUCACAGCAUCAAAGAAUCAAGCUUUCAGCAAAGUUCCAUCCUUGGGGUUGUAAGAAUAGGAGAGUGUCAUUUACUCAGUUAGGGGCAGCAAAAAGGAAAAGUCUGGCAUCUCCCCAGAGCAAGAUUUUUCCCUAAAGGGCAUUGAAAGUGAAUAAAUCAAGUAAGCUGUGAUUUUUAAAAGGGUUAUUCUAUUGGUUUUUCUAGCUGUGAAACAGAAGAAUCUAGUGAAUGGAAGUAUAUAAAAAUUUUGCCUCAGUUAAUUCACUUUUAUAAGGGCUUCCCAUGGUGUGCAGAUGAAUACAGAAGUUUGUAUAGUCAGUCAUAGUCAAUAUUUCAACUUGGUAAAAGAAAUACGAGAUCCACCUGAAUCAAACCAUGAGAUUUUUACAGAACUGAAUAACUUAAGGCACAGUGGGACAUCUACUGAGGGGCCAGGGAUUUUUUUUUUACACUAGCCAAGUGCAGAAGGGUCAGAUAUUUUAUUUUUUUAAAGAUACAGUUGAAAAUGCAUAAAUCAUGUAUAGAUUUGAAAUUAGCUGACAUUAAUAAAAAUUAAUUCCACGGCCAAUUUUAAAAUUAUUUAAAAUCCCCCUAUCCAUUAAUGAAAGCUAGAUCCUCCAUUCUACUUAAUUAUUAAACUUAUAUUUAUAUAGCAAUGAAUUAUAUGAACAUACCUUUAUUUUAAUUAUGA